rnacentral:rRNA from 1 species
UACAGAGGUCCCAAGCGUUGUCCGGAUUUACUGGGCGUAAAGAGCGCGCAGGCGGUCGUUCAAGUCGCGUGUGAAAGCCCCCGGCUCAACUGGGGAGGGUCACGCGAUACUGAUCGACUCGAAGGCAGGAGAGGGAAGUGGAAUUCCCGGUGUAGUGGUGAAAUGCGUAGAUAUCGGGAGGAACACCAGUGGCGAAGGCGACUUCCUGGCCUGUUCUUGACGCUGAGGCGCGAAAGCUAGGGGAGCAAACGGG